GGCGUAGGAUAUUUGAGAGGAGCUGACCUUAGUACGAGAGGACCGGGUUGGACUGACCUCUGGUGUACCGGUUGCACUGCCAAGUGCAUGGCCGGGUAGCCAAGUCGGGAAGGGAUAAACGCUGAAGGCAUCUAAGCGUGAAGCCCCCCUCAAGAUAAGAUAUCCCAUAGCAUAAGCUAGUAAGACCCCUGAAAGACGAUCAGGUGGAUAGGUUAGAGGUGGAAGUGUGGUAACACAUGUAGCUGACUAAUACUAAUAGGUCGAGGGCUUGACCUA
rfam:Anaerocolumna jejuensis DSM 15929 genome assembly, contig: EJ31DRAFT_scaffold00039.39